CCUACGGGAGGCAGCAGUGGGGAAUUUUGGACAAUGGGCGCAAGCCUGAUCCAGCCAUGCCGCGUGUGGGAAGAAGGCCUUCGGGUUGUAAACCACUUUUGUCAGGGAAGAAACGGCUCUUACUAAUAUUAGGGGCUAAUGACGGUACCUGAAGAAUAAGCACCGGCUAACUACGUGCCAGCAGCCGCGGUAAUACGUAGGGUGCAAGCGUUAAUCGGAAUUACUGGGCGUAAGGCGUGCGCAGGCGGCUUUGCAAGACAGAUGUGAAAUCCCCGGGCUCAACCUGGGAACUGCAUUUGUGACUGCAUGGCUAGAGUACGGUAGAGGGGGAUGGAAUUCCGCGUGUAGCAGUGAAAUGCGUAGAUAUGCGGAGGAACACCGGUGGCGAAGGCAAUCCCCUGGACCUGUACUGACGCUCAUGCACGAAAGCGUGGGGAGCAAACAGGAUUAGAUACCCUGGUAGUCCACGCCCUAAACGAUGUCAACUGGUUGUUGGACGGCUUGCUGUUCAGUAACGAAGCUAACGCGUGAAAGUUGACCGCCUGGGGAGUAACGGCGCAAGGUUGAAACUUCAAANAGAGUUGNGNGNGAGAGNGCGAGACGACACGAGGAGAG
rnacentral:rRNA from 1 species